UUUUCCACGUUAAAAAUCCAGUGUUCAUUGUCUCUUUCUCUCACUCUAUAUUUUGAUUUAUUUUUGAGGAGUGUUGAAGCAUUUGCAUGUGUUUUGCAUUUAUAAAUUGUUGGGAGAGUGUUGAUGCAUACAUUAUUGCUUGUGGAUGUUUUGCUUUGUUGAAAAGUUAUUGGAAGAAAAAAUUCUUGACAUUAAGAUAGUCUAAGGUUAGGUAAUCUUUGUUGGGAGAAUUUUUAAAUUGUUCUACAAUACCUAUUCAGCCCCCUCUAGGUGUAGUUCAUUAUUGAGAUUCACAUUUUCAACAAGUCUUCGGAAUAUCAUCCCCUUCAUGAUUGUUUUUAGUUUGCUCUAUCUUUAGUUCACUUCCAGCUUGUUUUCAGUUUGUUUCUUGCAUAUCUUUUGUUUGUUUUAAUUGCUACUUUAGUGGAUCUUUUGUGUUUCAGCCAUUUUCCUGUUGUUAGUAGAGUUAAAUCUUAAGUUUCAGUUACUUUAUUGUUCUAGGCAGUAGUUAGGGGUGUUUUCUUGGAGAAUCAAGGCCUCACCUUAGAUUUUUCUAACCUCAUUGAUAAGCAAAGUCCUAGUUAGCUUAUUAGCAACUUCUAUUCCAUAUAAAUGAAGCUGUGUCGGGGUAAGGAGUAAGGGAUAGUUCUUGAACACUUAAGGGUUCUAUAGUUCUCUCUCACAUACACUUUGCACACUAGUUCUUGGUUUUAAGCUGCUGAGUUAGACUUUUAACAGUUGUGAAAGACUCCAAAUAAGCUGCAUUUAGUCUUAGGAAGUGAAUAAGAUGCUACUCAGGUUCAAAGAGAGUGUCAAGGUCUCUUCUCCUAAAGCAAGAAUCAAGGAUCAACAAUGUUUUGCCAGAAAUAUUUCUCUCUAUCCUUGCUGCAUCCCUUCCUACUGAUUCUGUUGCUUCCUUAUUCAUCUCAACAAUAUUUUCCUUGACAGAUUCAUCAAUCUCAAUUUCUUUAGGAUUUUCUAAUUUGUUCAGGUCAUUCAGAAGCAAUUGCUUUCUCAGCAUUUUCAGUAUUAGUUCCUCAAUCUCCCUUUCAAUUGGUCGAUCAGUUUCCAUGGCAGCAUCUUUCUCAGUUUCAGCAGUGAUUUCCUCAUCCCUCUGCUCAGCUUUCUCAUUAAUUUGCUCAACAGCAUUCUUCUAUGUAGGCUCAGACUCUUCUCUACCCUGCUCUUCAGUUUCCUCUCCUUCAACUCCAUCAUUAAUUCUUCCACUUGGCUUCUCCCCCAUCAGCAUGAUCACAGAAGUGAUCCAUACCUCAAAAAUAGUCCUGAUCAUCGCCAUCAUCAUUGGAAGGAGGUGAUNNN
rnacentral:lncRNA from 1 species